AGCGGUGUGGAAUCUGCUUGAUGCAUAAAUGUCUCCAGCCCCACAAGGUAUUCUUUCGUCACUCUCCCGUUAGCAUCUCUAUGCAUAUACAUCCACCUCCGCAACUCAAAAAUAUUUCCGGAGCACGACAUUUUUUUUUCUUUCACGUUUUUUUUUCUUAUUGGUGUGUUUAAAAUGAUGUUCAAAUGUCCAUAUUUAUAGGAAAUUUUCGAAUCUGGUAGUUGUAAUUUUCUUAGGAAUUUAUGACGAAAUUUAGUUAGGUGGCCGAAAAAAACGUGUUACAACUCAAAUUUCCUCGCUAAGUUGACAUAAAAUAUUUCCUCGUAAAGUCCACGCUAUGUUUACGUCGAGCUUACGAGGAAAUCGUAAUUCCUCGUAAAAGUCACGUGAUAUUACAUC
rnacentral:lncRNA from 1 species